UCUUGAAAUGUUCCGGAUUGACUGACCUUCAUGUCUUAAAUUCUGCAGGAAGAUGUUGUGGGAGUCGCCUUAAUUGCUGAGAGAGAGAAAGAGAGAGAGAGAAGGCCUGGUGGCUGCUGCCCCCUGGUGGUUGCCAGUCAGAGGGGCAGACUGGAGGCACCCCGAGGGUCUCGACUCCAGCAUCACUAACAGGCUGGACCAUCCUGUGCUGCAUGUGUCAUGGGGGGAUGGUCUGACCUACUGCUCCUGGACCCACAAGAGACUGAGUGGGAGUACGCCUGCAGAUGUGGCCUACAACACAGGUGAUGUCAUUUCCUGCUAAUGGCUAUGGCCUGUACAACAUGGUGGGGAAGGCAUGGGAGUGGACAUCUGACUGGUGGACUGUUCACCACACUAAGGACGAUAAUACACAAACACAUUUAUUUUAUGUGGCACUUAUAUCUGUGAGGAUUUCCUCUUCUUCAUGUUCUGAUAUUUUCUCCCCUCUCUUUUGCAGACAGGACCAC